CACGUAGGGCGCAAGCGUUGUCCGGAAUUAUUGGGCGUAAAGAGCUCGUAGGCGGUUUGUCGCGUCUGCUGUGAAAACCUAAGGCUCAACCUUGGGCUUGCAGUGGGUACGGGCAGACUAGAGUGCGGUAGGGGUGACUGGAAUUCCUGGUGUAGCGGUGGAAUGCGCAGAUAUCAGGAGGAACACCGAUGGCGAAGGCAGGUCACUGGGCCG
rnacentral:rRNA from 1 species